ACCCUAUUAUUCAAAAUGUAGAAAUAAAAACUAAGGUAGUAAUUGUUAUGUUCUUGAAACCUAAAAAAUUUGGCGGUAUUUUAAUCUAUUCAGAGGAACCUGUUCUAUAAUUGAUAAUCCACGAUGGACCUUACUUAAGUUAGUAAAUCAGUUUAUAUAUCGUUGUUGUAAAAAUUUUUUAAAAAUAAUUAAUUUUUAAUAUUUUAAAUAAUUAAAUUAAUAUCAAAUCAAGGUGUAGCUAAUACUUAAGAAGAAAUGGGUUACAAUAAUUUUAAUUUAUGGAUAUAAUUAUGAAAAAAUUAUUGAAAUUGGAUUUGAAAGUAAAAUUAUAAAGAUUAAUAAUUUGAUUAUAGCUCUAAAAUAUGUACAUAUCGCCCGUCACUCUUAUUAUUAAGGUAAGAUAAGU
rnacentral:rRNA from 1 species